GACGAACGCUGGCGGCGUGCUUAACACAUGCAAGUCGAACGAUGAACCGGAGCUUGCUCUGGGGAUUAGUGGCGAACGGGUGAGUAACACGUGGGCAACCUGCCCCAGACACCGGGAUAACCAUUCGAAAGGAUGGCUAAUACCGGAUACGACCACUUCGGGCAUCCGAUGGUGGUGGAAAGGAUUCUGGUCUGGGAUGGGCCCGCGGCCUAUCAGCUUGUUGGUGGGGUAAUGGCCUACCAAGGCGACGACGGGUAGCCGGCCUGGGAGGGCGACCGGCCCAACUGGGACUGAGACACGGCCCAGACUCCUACGGGAGGCAGCAGUGGGGAAUAUUGCGCAAUGGGCGAAAGCCUGACGCAGCCAUGCCGCGUGAAUGAUGAAGGUCUUAGGAUUGUAAAAUUCUUUCACCGGGGACGAUAAUGACGGUACCCGGAGAAGAAGCCCCGGCAAACUUCGUGCCAGCCGCCGCAGUAAAAC
rnacentral:rRNA from 1 species